CUCCUGGAAACGGGUGGUAAUACCGGAUGCUCCGCCCCACCGCAUGGUGGGGUGGGAAAUGCUUUUUGCGGCAUGGGAUGGGGUCGCGUCCUAUCAGCUUGUUGGCGGGGUGAUGGCCCACCAAGGCGUUGACGGGUAGCCGGCCUGAGAGGGUGACCGGCCACAUUGGGACUGAGAUACGGCCCAGACUCCUACGGGAGGCAGCAGUGGGGAAUAUUGCACAAUGGGCGCAAGCCUGAUGCAGCGACGCCGCGUGCGGGAUGGAGGCCUUCGGGUUGUAAACCGCUUUUGUUCAAGGGCAAGGCACGGUCUUUUGGCCGUGUUGAGUGGAUUGUUCGAAUAAGCACCGGCUAACUACGUGCCAGCAGCCGCGGUAAUACGUAGGGUGCGAGCGUUAUCCGGAUUUAUUGGGCGUAAAGGGCUCGUAGGCGGUUCGUCGCGUCCGGUGUGAAAGUCCAUCGCCUAACGGUGGAUCUGCGCCGGGUACGGGCGGGCUGGAGUGCGGUAGGGGAGACUGGAAUUCCCGGUGUAACGGUGGAAUGUGUAGAUAUCGGGAAGAACACC
rnacentral:rRNA from 1 species